UUCCGGCGGCUGCCGGCGACGCCAAGCACACUCCCAUGAUCGCCUCCGUCCGCUCCGUCUUCCCCUCCGAGCAGAUUCGUCGCUCGCGUCCUCUACCGGUCACCCGCGACCGUCCCCUAAGCUAGGGUUUCGGCCACCGCGUCGCCGGCGUGGCUCCGGCGGCACAGAUCGAGCACACCACCGUCGCCAUCGUUUAGCUCGCGCUGGAACAUCAAAGGGAAGGCCAUGGACGACGCUGCUCCAGCCCUACUCUGACCCCAUCAAGCAGUAGCAGCAACUCGAUGCAGGGACGAGGGGGAGGAGGAGUCCUGCUUCCCCCACGUGCAUCCUCUCU